rnacentral:rRNA from 1 species
GCCUAGUCUUAUAAAACAAAUGACCAAGCAUAAUUACCAUAAUAAUAUUUAGAACUUAAAGUAAAACAUUCUACCACCCAAGUAUAGGCGAUAGAAAAGGAACACAUAGAGCUAUAGAAAAAGUACCGCAAGGGAAUGCUGAAAAAGAAGUGAAACAACCCACAAAGCAAGAAAAAGCAGAGACUAAUCCUCGUACCUUUUGCAUCAUGGUUUAGCAAGCAAAACUCAGGCAAAGAGAGCCUUAGUCUGAAACCCCGAAACUAGACGAGCUACUCCGGGGCAGUCUUUUUAAAGGACCAACCCGUCUCUGUGGCAAUAGAGUGGGAAGACCCCCGAGUAGAGGUGACAUACCUAACGAGCCUAGUAAUAGCUGGUUGCUUAAGAAAUGGAUAUCAGUUCAGCCUUAUGUUUUUCUCAAACCAGAAACCUCAUAUAACAACUAAGAGUAAAGCAAAACAUAAGAGUUAGUCAAAGGAGGAACAGCCCCUUUGAAAAAGAAUACAACCUUAUACAGGAGUACAACGAUCAUAAUUAUUUUAAGGAAAUUUUUACAGUGGGCCCGAAAGCAGCCAUCUGUUCAGAAAGCGUCAAAGCUCAGGAAAAUUUUUAAACCUGUAAUAAAGAUAACAGCAUCUUAAUACCCUAAAACUAUUAAGCCGUCCUAAUUUUUAGAAGAGAUAAUGCUAGAAUUAGUAAUAAGAGAACAGAAUCUCUCCCGGCACAUGUGUAAGUCAGCCCGGACAAAACACUGAUAAUUAACGGCCCCAACAAGCGAGGGUAUAACAACAAAACCUAAUGAACAAGAAAAAUCUGUUACACUAGCCGUUAUUCCAACACAGGGGUGCCAAAAGGAAAGACUAAAAGGUGCGGAAGGAACUCGGCAAACCUAGACCUCGCCUGUUUACCAAAAACAUCGCCUCUUGCUAACAAACCAUGUAUUAGAGGUCCCGCCUGCCCCGUGACUAUAUGUUUAACGGCCGCGGUAUCAUGACCGUGCAAAGGUAGCGUAAUCACUUGUCUCCUAAAUAGAGACCCGUAUGAAUGGCAUGACGAGGGUCUGACUGUCUCCCGUACCCAGUCAAUGAAAUUGAUCUACCCGUGCAGAAGCGGGCAUAUGAACAUAAGACGAGAAGACCCUAUGAAGCUUUAGGCCGAAGAUCAAACAUGUAAAGAGACUAAAAAUUCAAAAGACAAACAAGAAGAUUUAAACUAAUUGUAACAUGAUCUAAGUACCUUCGGUUGGGGCGACCACGGGGGAAAACGAAGCCCCCGAAUGGAAUGAAAUUAUUUCCGAGACAAGAACCACAAUUCUAAGCAACAGAAAAUCUGACCAUUAUAAUGACCCAGAAAUAAUAAACCAAGUUUCUGACCAAUGAACCAAGUUACUCUAGGGAUAACAGCGCAAUCCUUUCCCAGAGGCCAUAUCGACGAAAGGGUUUACGACCUCGAUGUUGGAUCAGGACAUCCUAAUGGAGCAGCCGCUAUUAAGGGUUCGUUUGUUCAACGAUUAAUAGUCCUACGUGAUCUGAGUUCAGACCGGAGUAAUCCAGGUCGGUUUCUAUCUAUGAAUUUUUACUUUAUCCUAGUACGAAAGGGCCGGAAGAAGAGGGCCCAUACUAUCAUAGCAAGCCCUAUCCUAAACUCCUGAAACCAAAUAAAAGAGGUAAGGAAAUUAUUCACUAACCAAAGAUAAUGGUGC